UAUAUUGCAUGGAUAGAGAAGAGUACUUUUGUAGACUAUUUGAAGCGAGUUCAGGAGAGUGGGAGCUGAACAAUGGAACAAGAGGAAUGGCACUCUGGAGCAAUAAUAAUAAAGUGGCUCUUUUAUAAAGAGCAAAUAGGGUGGAACCGCGGGUAGAACCCGUCCCUAUG
rnacentral:ncRNA from 1 species